rnacentral:rRNA from 1 species
CGGACGGGUGAGUAAUGCUUAGGAAUCUGCCUAUUAGUGGGGGACAACAUUCCGAAAGGAAUGCUAAUACCGCAUACGCCCUACGGGGGAAAGCAGGGGAUCUUCGGACCUUGCGCUAAUAGAUGAGCCUAAGUCAGAUUAGCUAGUUGGUGGGGUAAAGGCCUACCAAGGCGACGAUCUGUAGCGGGUCUGAGAGGAUGAUCCGCCACACUGGGACUGAGACACGGCCCAGACUCCUACGGGAGGCAGCAGUGGGGAAUAUUGGACAAUGGGCGAAAGCCUGAUCCAGCCAUGCCGCGUGUGUGAAGAAGGCCUUUUGGUUGUAAAGCACUUUAAGCGAGGAGGAGGCUACUUGGAUUAAUACUCUAGGAUAGUGGACGUUACUCGCAGAAUAAGCACCGGCUAACUCUGUGCCAGCAGCCGCGGUAAUACAGAGGGUGCGAGCGUUAAUCGGAUUUACUGGGCGUAAAGCGUGCGUAGGCGGCUUUUUAAGUCGGAUGUGAAAUCCCUGAGCUUAACUUAGGAAUUGCAUUCGAUACUGGGAAGCUAGAGUAUGGGAGAGGAUGGUAGAAUUCCAGGUGUAGCGGUGAAAUGCGUAGAGAUCUGGAGGAAUACCGAUGGCGAAGGCAGCCAUCUGGCCUAAUACUGACGCUGAGGUACGAAAGCAUGGGGAGCAAACAGGAUUAG